CCAUUGUCAAACUUCUAGGCUUAUAGGAAAACAACACUGAACAUCCGACAUACACGUUUUCGCGUUGAAAAUGUCGGCUGCAACCUCUAUUAAAAGAAAAAUGCAAUAUCUUUACUACAUUAUUGCAUUUCAAUAAUAUCUAUAUAACAUCUGUAGGUGCAAUGCAAACAGACAAUCAUUAUGUCCAAACAGACAACAAUAACAAUCAGCAAGAAGAUAAUCAUUAUGUCGUAAGUAAAAAUUUCAUUAAUAUUCUAGCAGCAAACAGACAAUCAUUAUGUCGUAAGUAAAAAUUUUAUAUUUUAUUAUAUACGUUAUUCAGUUUUAUAAAAUUAUAAUAAUAUUUUUGCAGCAAACAGACAACAAUAACAAUAUGAACAGAAACAUGUACAUAUAUGUACCAGUUGUUGUAAUGACACUGUUAAUUGUUCUUCUUGCCAUCAGACCUGACACGUCUGCAGAAACUAUUCAGACAAUACUGAUUCUGUUUUAUAAAUUCUCUGAAAAACUAUUAAUUUAAAUAAUAAUUAAAAAAU
rnacentral:misc_RNA from 1 species